rnacentral:rRNA from 1 species
UACGUAGGGAGCAAGCGUUGUCCGGAAUCAUUGGGCGUAAAGCGCGCGUAGGUGGCUUCGUAAGUCCGUUGUGAAAAGUCAAAGGCUCAACCUUUGAAAGCCGAUGGAUACUGCGGAGCUAGAGUACGGAAGAGGCGAGUGGAAUUCCUGGUGUAGCGGUGAAAUGCGCAGGAAUAUCAAGGAGGAACACCGGUGGCGAAGGCGGGACUCUGGGCCGAUACUACGCUGAGGAGCGAAAGCGUGGGGAGCAAACAGG